GAUGAAGAACGUAGUGAACGUGCGAAACGUAAUGUGAAUUGCAGAAUUCAGUGAAUCAUCGAAUCUUUGAACGCAUCUUGCGCUCCUUGGUAUUCCGAGGAGCAUGCCUGUUUGAGUGUCGUGAAUACUCUCAACUUCAACCCUUUUUUCGGAAAGGGAGGAAGGUUGGACUUGGGUGUUUGUUGAAGUGCGAGCUUCGACUCAUCCUAAAUGCAUUAGCGAUCUGCCUCGAUCACACACAAUGUGAUAAUUAAAACUAAAGCAUUGUUUAAUGAUCAAGUCGAGACUGCUUCUAACUGUCGCAAGACAAUAACGUGCAUACAUUUGUGCAUGUCAUUUGACCUCAAAUCAGGUAGGACUACCCGCUGAACUUAAGCAUAUCAAUAAGCGGAGGA
rnacentral:misc_RNA from 1 species